UACGUAGGGUGCAAGCGUUGUCCGGAAUUAUUGGGCGUAAAGAGCUCAUAGGCGGUUUGUCGCGUCUUCCGUGAAAACUGGGGGCUUAACUUCCAGCUUGCGGUGGAUACGGGCUGACUGGAGUGCGGCAGGGGAGACUGGAAUUCCUGGUGUAGCGGUGAAAUGCGCAGAUAUCAGGAGGAACACCGGUGGCGAAGGCGAGUCUCUGGGCCGUUACUGACGCUGAGGAGCGAAAGCGUGGGGAGCGAACAGG
rnacentral:rRNA from 1 species